rnacentral:rRNA from 1 species
UGGGGAAUAUUGGACAAUGGGGGGAACCCUGAUCCAGCAACGCCGCGUGAAGGAUGAAGUAUUUCGGUAUGUAAACUUCGAAAGAAUAGGAAGAAUAAAUGACGGUACUAUUUAUAAGGUCCGGCUAACUACGUGCCAGCAGCCGCGGUAAUACGUAGGGACCAAGCGUUGUUCGGAUUUACUGGGCGUAAAGGGCGCGUAGGCGGCAUGACAAGUCACUUGUGAAAUCUCUGGGCUUAACCCAGAACGGCCAAGUGAUACUGUCGCGCUAGAGUGCAGAAGGGGCAAUCGGAAUUCUUGGUGUAGCGGUGAAAUGCGUAGAUAUCAAGAGGAACACCUGAGGUGAAGACGGGUUGCUGGGCUGACACUGACGCUGAGGCGCGAAAGCCAGGGGAGCAAACGGGAUUAGAUACCCUUGUAGUCCCUGAGCGGGCUGGCAAGGCGCAU